GUGGAUUAGAUACCCUGGUAGUCCACGCUGUAAACGAUGACGACUAGGUGUGGGGUGGUUCAGUCCAUUCCGUGCCGCAGCUAACGCAUUAAGUCGUCCGCCUGGGGAGUACGGCCGCAAGGUUGAAACUCAAAGGAAUUGACGGGGGCCCGCACAAGCGGUGGAGCAUGUGGUUCAAUUCGAUGCAGAGCGAAGAACCUUACCUGGGCUUGACAUGUAGGAAGUAGAAACCCGAAAGGGGGACGACCUGUUGAGUCAGGAGCCUACACAGGUGGUGCAUGGCUGUCGCCAGCU
rnacentral:rRNA from 1 species